GCGGAGCUGCAGUUAGCGCUGCGCGCGUGAGGUGGCGGGGCGGCAGCCGCGCAUCCCGGCCCUGUGGCGUGUUGGGCGUGGGGGAGCGUCCUUACACGUUCCAGGGUGGCUUUUCCCCCACGUCCUCGCUCGGUUUCUGGAAAGGGGGAGGAAACGCUGCAGCUUCUACAGUACUUUUGCUUAAGACAAAGCCAGGGAUCAGGAAUCUCAAAAGAGCGGGGGGCAGAAGGUUUGAGCCGACCCCACCCCGGCUCUCCAUCGGAGCCCCGAGCGGCGCCGUUUCCUGAUGCUGGCUGUGCGUAGAGGCGGCCUUCCUGGGGGGAGGGGAGAACAAUGCUUCCUGAAAAGCCAAAAGUCGUGGAAUUUGGGGGCGGGGCUCGGGCCAAUUAAAGUGUAUUCGUGGAAAAUAAAUCGCAAGAUAGUGGCAGUGAUGAUCUUGGCGUUCAAUCGAUUGAUCUGACUUCCCAGCAGCGAACUGCACACUGCAGCGCGAAAGCAGGAAACUGGCAUUACGUCAGAAGACAGAAGAGACCCAAAUUGCAACGAUAAGCAAACAGACUCUGAGGAUCCGUGUGUCCACCAGCUGAGAGAAGGUGAGCCCAGGCAGUCUGACUCCAAAGCCUCUUAACUUCUCGCAUUAUCACAGUGGGGAGAGGUCUGGGUGGGGACCUUCCAGGCUCACCUCAUACCAGGAAGGCAAAGACUUUCAUUCAAUCCUGCUAUCCUGUCAACUUCGAUAAACCUAGUCCCG
rnacentral:lncRNA from 10 species